rnacentral:rRNA from 1 species
GUGGGGAAUCUUCCACAAUGGACGAAAGUCUGAUGGAGUAACGCCGCGUGAGUGAAGAAGGGUUUCGGCUCGUAAAGCUCUGUUGUCGGGGACGAAUGUGCAGUAUUUGAAUAAAGUACUGUAAUGGCGGUACCUGACGAGGAAGCCACGGCUAACUACGUGCCAGCAGCCGCGGUAAUACGUAGGUGGCAAGCGUUGUCCGGAAUUAUUGGGAGUAAAGGGAGCGCAGGCGGGAAGGUAAGUCGGUCUUAAAAGUGCGUGGCUCAACCCCGUGAUGGGAUCGAAACUAUCUUUCUUGAGUGCAGGAGAGGAAAGUGGAAUUCCUAGUGUAGCGGUGAAAUGCGUAGAUAUUAGGAGGAACACCAGUGGCGAAGGCGACUUUCUGGACUGUAACUGACGCUGAGGCUCGAAAGCCAGGGGAGCGAACGGGAUUAGAAACCCCGGUAGUCC